rnacentral:rRNA from 1 species
AUGGGCCUCCUGUCGUCGAUCCUGCAAUGGUGCCUACUAAUGCCCAAGUUCCUCGUCCUCAUCGUGGCCAACCUUCCUGACCCCGCCAAUUGUGCCCGGUGCCGCGCUCUCUACCAUCCAUGGCACUCUACCGUGUGCCACCAUCGCCACCAAGCGCGCCCGCUGCCGUGGAUCGCCCUACGGGACAGCUUCGUUGUCACCUCCUACAAUGGCCACAUGCACCGACUCCCCGAGAACGCCAUGACUGCUGGCUCCACAAAUGACUGGUUGGCCCUCGGCCUCGGCCAGAAGCACACCAACGAGGAGCAAGCAGAGUACUACGUUGUCCGCAACUAUGUCCUGCACAAUCCUUUUUCAUACAGGUCUCUGCCGCUACCCGAGCUUGAUGUCGUUGUCCAGGAGAGGUCUCUCGUCUGCAAGUUCCUCAUGCGCUCGACGGUUGACGAUUUCAUUGCUGUCAUCACCAACAACAGGAAGCAUCCGCUCAUUGUAUUCCAGCGAGGAAAAGGUGUGUGGACGCCAGGGCCAUGGGCAACACAAUAUACCUACCUCAUUGACAUCGCGUUUCAUGGUGAUAAAUUGUAUGCCAUCACCACAGCUGAGGACCUCAUCCCCAUUGAUCUUGCAUUCGAUGGAGAAGGAAGGCCUAUGGUUGCAGUGGGACCACAUGUCAUCAAGAAAUCAAUCAACUAUGAUUAUUAUGAAUCAUUGACUACUUCUGAUGAGGAAGACGAUGAGAAUGAAGAGGAUGGAGAGGAAGAAGACAACGCCGGUGAAAAGAAGGAAGAUGAAGAAGAUAAUGAUUUGACCUAUAUCAAUUGCUCAGCUGAGUUUGCGCCAGAUGUCAAACCUGAUAAUAUCACCAUAAUUAGCAGGCAUCUCAUCGAGUCGCAUGGGAAGCUACUCAUGGUAAGGCAUAGCCGUCAGCUCCAUCCUCAAACUUUGUGGGUCACUCUCAAGGUGGAUGUUCUUGAAGCAGACUUUAGCACACACGAGUGGGUGCCACUGACCGGAGGGCUACGCAUCGAUCGAGCACUCUUCGUUAGCAUGGCCUUCUCCAAGUCUGUCCCGGCACCUUGUGGACAGGUGGAGGAAGAUGCAAUUUAUUUUAUGGACACGAGCGAGGUGUUCAACAUGAAAUCCGGUACUUCUAUGCCGUCAAAGUUCUAUAAUGGGGUAACAUGGCUCUUCCCUCCAGAGUACCAGCUUUGA